rnacentral:rRNA from 1 species
GACUGCGUACCUUUUGUAUAAUGGGUCAGCGACUUAUAUUCUGUAGCAAGGUUAACCGAAUAGGGGAGCCGAAGGGAAACCGAGUCUUAACUGGGCGUUAAGUUGCAGGGUAUAGACCCGAAACCCGGUGAUCUAGCCAUGGGCAGGUUGAAGGUUGGGUAACACUAACUGGAGGACCGAACCGACUAAUGUUGAAAAAUUAGCGGAUGACUUGUGGCUGGGGGUGAAAGGCCAAUCAAACCGGGAGAUAGCUGGUUCUCCCCGAAAGCUAUUUAGGUAGCGCCUCGUGAAUUCAUCUCCGGGGGUAGAGCACUGUUUCGGCAAGGGGGUCAUCCCGACUUACCAACCCGAUGCAAACUGCGAAUACCGGAGAAUGUUAUCACGGGAGACACACGGCGGGUGCUAACGUCCGUCGUGAAGAGGGAAACAACCCAGACCGCCAGCUAAGGUCCCAAAGUCAUGGUUAAGUGGGAAACGAUGUGGGAAGGCCCAGACAGCCAGGAUGUUGGCUUAGAAGCAGCCAUCAUUUAAAGAAAGCGUAAUAGCUCACUGGUCGAGUCGGCCUGCGCGGAAGAUGUAACGGGGCUAAACCAUGCACCGAAGCUGCGGCAGCGACGCUUAUGCGUUGUUGGGUAGGGGAGCGUUCUGUAAGCCUGCGAAGGUGUGCUGUGAGGCAUGCUGGAGGUAUCAGAAGUGCGAAUGCUGACAUAAGUAACGAUAAAGCGGGUGAAAAGCCCGCUCGCCGGAAGACCAAGGGUUCCUGUCCAACGUUAAUCGGGGCAGGGUGAGUCGACCCCUAAGGCGAGGCCGAAAGGCGUAGUCGAUGGGAAACAGGUUAAUAUUCCUGUACUUGGUGUUACUGCGAAGGGGGGACGGAGAAGGCUAUGUUGGCCGGGCGACGGUUGUCCCGGUUUAAGCGUGUAGGCUGGUUUUCCAGGCAAAUCCGGAAAAUCAAGGCUGAGGCGUGAUGACGAGGCACUACGGUGCUGAAGCAACAAAUGCCCUGCUUCCAGGAAAAGCCUCUAAGCAUCAGGUAACAUCAAAUCGUACCCCAAACCGACACAGGUGGUCAGGUAGAGAAUACCAAGGCGCUUGAGAGAACUCGGGUGAAGGAACUAGGCAAAAUGGUGCCGUAACUUCGGGAGAAGGCACGCUGAUAUGUAGGUGAAGUCCCUCGCGGAUGGAGCUGAAAUCAGUCGAAGAUACCAGCUGGCUGCAACUGUUUAUUAAAAACACAGCACUGUGCAAACACGAAAGUGGACGUAUACGGUGUGACGCCUGCCCGGUGCCGGAAGGUUAAUUGAUGGGGUUAGCACAAGCGAAGCUCUUGAUCGAAGCCCCGGUAAACGGCGGCCGUAACUAUAACGGUCCUAAGGUAGCGAAAUUCCUUGUCGGGUAAGUUCCGACCUGCACGAAUGGCGUAAUGAUGGCCAGGCUGUCUCCACCCGAGACUCAGUGAAAUUGAACUCGCUGUGAAGAUGCAGUGUACCCGCGGCAAGACGGAAAGACCCCGUGAACCUUUACUAUAGCUUGACACUGAACAUUGAGCCUUGAUGUGUAGGAUAGGUGGGAGGCUUUGAAGUGUGGACGCCAGUCUGCAUGGAGCCGACCUUGAAAUACCACCCUUUAAUGUUUGAUGUUCUAACGUUGACCCGUAAUCCGGGUUGCGGACAGUGUCUGGUGGGUAGUUUGACUGGGGCGGUCUCCUCCUAAAGAGUAACGGAGGAGCACGAAGGUUGGCUAAUCCUGGUCGGACAUCAGGAGGUUAGUGCAAUGGCAUAAGCCAGCUUGACUGCGAGCGUGACGGCGCGAGCAGGUGCGAAAGCAGGUCAUAGUGAUCCGGUGGUUCUGAAUGGAAGGGCCAUCGCUCAACGGAUAAAAGGUACUCCGGGGAUAACAGGCUGAUACCGCCCAAGAGUUCAUAUCGACGGCGGUGUUUGGCACCUCGAUGUCGGCUCAUCACAUCCUGGGGCUGAAGUAGGUCCCAAGGGUAUGGCUGUUCGCCAUUUAAAGUGGUACGCGAGCUGGGUUUAGAACGUCGUGAGACAGUUCGGUCCCUAUCUGCCGUGGGCGCUGGAGAACUGAGGGGGGCUGCUCCUAGUACGAGAGGACCGGAGUGGACGCAUCACUGGUGUUCGGGUUGUCAUGCCAAUGGCACUGCCCGGUAGCUAAAUGCGGAAGAGAUAAGUGCUGAAAGCAUCUAAGCACGAAACUUGCCCCGAGAUGAGUUCUCCCUGACUCCUUGAGAGUCCUGAAGGAACGUUGAAGACGACGACGUUGAUAGGCCGGGUGUGUAAGCGCAGCGAUGCGUUGAGCUAACCGGUACUAAUGAACCGUGAGGCUUAACCU